AUGCUUAAUUUCUCUGAAUCUGUUCUGAUGAAGAAACAAACUAAUCUACAGUAUAUCUUGCAUGUCUUCAGGAUGCAUCACAUCCAACUCAUCCUCUGCAGAGAGAAAUUGCCACUCAGUCACACCAGAAUGAUGGAGUUAAAGUCAUCAUAGAGGAUUGUGAAGAUAUUUCACUGGAACUUUGUCUUCAUCAAAUAUAUAUAUUUUUUUUUAUUUUGUGUUUUACUUUUUUAUGUAUGUAUUCAUGUUCAAUGUCAACUGUCAACUGUUGUUAAGAGCACUGACAUUUUUGCUACAAUUCCACGUCAAUAAAAAAGUACCUAAUUCACACAAUAUGUUGUUGCUGCUGCUGUUGUUGAUGUUGUUGUUAUUUUAAUGUAAUAAUAUAUUAAAAUAAUAUUAAUAAAACUAAUAUUAAUGAUAUAAAUAUACUAAUAUACUGAUAUUAAUGAAAAUAAACUAUCAUUAAAAAGGUUAUUUAUAACACCAUUAAGGUUGUAUAUAUAGCACUUUCAAAGCAUGGUUCUUUGUGGAACCCUAUAAAAGGGUUCUAUUUAGCACCAAAAAUUGUUCUGCUAUUGUUACAAGCUGAAGAACCCUUUUCUGGUACUGUUUAGAACCAUUUUUCUCAUUAGUGUAUUUUACUGCAUGCUUCACGAAAUGUUCUUGUACACUUGAAUUUCCUCAAUGACUUGAAAAAGCUGAAAAAAGAAAAUAGUAGGCUAUAACCACAUGGCCAUUAAAUAUUUCAGAUGUAGGUUCUUGCAGUAGAUAAUCACCAAUGACUCUGGAAGAAGGGCCUUUUUUUGGAGUGAAAAUUUGCAAUUUCUGAGUGAAAAAAAUUCUGCCCCAUUUUUUUUUCUCAGUGUAAAAUGUAAUUUGUAGAAGACAAAUAUGGAAAUAUUAUUUAAAAGUUUAAGACAUUUCAAAACUCUCCAGCCUCCCCUAUAGUGUAUUGUGUUUGCUUUUCAGCACUCUUCCUCUGUUUAAAAAAGAAAGAAAAGAAAAAAAAAAUCAACAUCUACUGAAGCAGGGAUGGGCGGUAUUAAUGCCUUAACCCUGAGGCAGAGACUCUUGUUUUCACAUUACAUGAGUGCAUCAGAAUGACAACAUUGCUUAUCAGUAACUCGUGCAACGUUAUAGACAUUUAAUAGCAACCUGAUUUAAGCAGCCAACCAACGUGUCAGCAAU
rnacentral:lncRNA from 12 species